rnacentral:rRNA from 1 species
CGUAGGUGGCAAGCGUUGUCCGGAAUUAUUGGGCGUAAAGCGCGCGCAGGCGGUUCCUUAAGUCUGAUGUGAAAGCCCCCGGCUCAACUGGGGAAGGUCAUUGGAAACUGGGGAACUUGAGUGCAGAAGAGAAGAGCGGAAUUCCACGUGUAGCGGUGAAAUGCGUAGAGAUGUGGAGGAACACCAGUGGCGAAGGCGGCUCUUUGGUCUGUAACUGACGCUGAGGCGCGAAAGCGUGGGGAGCAAACAGGAUUAGAUACCCUGGUAGUCCACGCCGUAAACGAUGAGUGCUAAGUGUUAGAGGGUUUCCGCCCUUUAGUGCUGCAGCUAACGCAUUAAGCACUCCGCCUGGGGGAGUACGGCCGCAAGGCUAG